rnacentral:rRNA from 1 species
UACGUAGGGGGCCAGCGUUGUCCGGAAUCAUUGGGCGUAAAGCGCGCGUAGGCGGCCAGAUAAGUCCGGUGUGAAAGUCAAAGGCUCAACCUUUGAAUGCCGCUGGAAACUGCCUGGCUUGAGUCCGGAAGGGGCGAGUGGAAUUCCUGGUGUAGCGGUGAAAUGCGCAGAUAUCAGGAGGAACACCAAUGGCGAAGGCAGCUCGCUGGAACGGUACUGACGCUGAGGCGCGAAAGCUAGGGGAGCAAACAGG